UCGAGAUAGUAAUUAAAUUUUGGCGAUGGCUUUGAUACUAUAUAGUGAGAUGAAGGUCGAAUAAAGACUUUUCUGGUGGGUAGAACGGUGCCGUACGGUGUGGUUGCAGAGAGGGAGAUCGCCAUUAUCGUCAAUUCUAAGCUUGAUUAGGGGAGAGUGCGGGCGACCGUUGGAAUUCUCACUAGGCUACACGUGGCUCAUUUAUAUGACCAAGUUUCUCUUCUUGUGACGGCUUUAGAGCAUCUCCC
rnacentral:lncRNA from 1 species